CAAAACAAUGGAGUCUCAAUUGCCUUCAGCCUAUACCAUUGAAAAUUGAUGAAAAUGAUAUGAAACAGAUAACUGAAGCAGUGAAGCUAAACCAGAAUAUCAUCAGCAAGAGUCCAAACAAAAUGAACACUGCAGAGGAUUCUACAUCACAAACAAACAGUGUUCAAAAGGGAUUAAGUCUAUGAUUACAUUUUUGCCCUGAAUCCCUGGGUAUAUAAGCGAUAUCUCCAUCACUUUCUCAAUUCCAGUAGUCUCCAUCGAUAUCAAUGCCUGUUGUUAGGCAAUUUCAAGCUUAUCCAUCACAAUCAGUCUGAACAAAAGCUUGCUCAAAACUUGAAGGAAGGUCACCAAGUUGCAGGCUCUCGCUCUCACACGAAGUAUCAUUAAGUUUCGUUUUAUUAGCUUAUUUGCCAGAUUUGGGGAAUAGUUUUCAGCAAGAAAAGAGUUUUUGCAAAACGUUGGGCACUCAGUUUCAUCUCCUAAUUCAAAAGGUUUAGAACAUCAAAUUAAGUUAUAGGUGUUCUUCAGAUUAAGUUUCAGAUCACAACCCUUGCAAAUGCAAUUGAAGAGAUGUUAGGUACGUCCAUUCUGUAGCAUAUGUCCUAAUUGAUACUUUGACAUUUCUCAUGUACUGCUUAGAAUAUUGUGUACACACAUCAUAUUUGUAUAUUUACUUUCUUUGUUUCCUUCUUAGAAUAUCAAAGAUAAUUUAAUUUGAAUAUAAGCAUUGAUAAAUGCUUUGUACUACAGUAGUUGGGUUUCCAUUUUACUGCGCAAACUGGACAAUAUAUAUAUUGAAUCCAAGUACUUUAGUUGUUUGCCUCUUAGAAUAUCAAACAAAUAUGAUAAAUGCUUGGCUGUAAUUUUUAUUUCGAGGAUAACCCUUGGAUUGGCAGUACACUGAUCAUAUUAAAAGCCAAAUAUUGGCAAGACUAACAGAAGAGCUAUAUCUCUUACGUGAAAAUCACUAAGAAACAAAUUCUCAGACAAAUUCAACAUGCUUUGGUCUUUCAUUUUUGUUUCCUAUACAAAAAUGAUCUUUUGUUCUGUAUAAGUUCAAUGCCAUUUCUCCACUAUAGAUUGCUCAAAAGUCAUUGGUAGAAGACUCAUCGAAGCAGCUAAAAUAACAGCUGACUUAAGUGGGGCAAUAGCCCUUACCCGAUGAUAGAAUGUCCAUCACCUGAAGCUUUAAAACAUCGGACCCACCAAAAGUUGGCAAAGGUAAUGACAAGGAUUCCUCUAUCUGAAAAACUGGAAAAGGGUGAGCUGAGCAAUACAGUUUAUGUUCUUCCCAAUUUUGUUUAUAAGCGUGUGCUUCUUUACAUUACUUCUUUUAAUGGGUACAGAGUGACAGCGGUAGAGAAACUGAGAACAAAGCUGCAGCUCAUCAAACCUAUCUAGCACGAACUUUGUAGCACCCAAGUGGCCAAGUAUGUGCAACAUAAAAAAAGUUACGCUAGAAGAACAUAGAAUGGUUUCAAACAGGCUCUAUAGGUCGGUGAAAAAGUUCACACAGAGGAACAUUCUAAGGAUUUACCCCAAAGAAACUUAAAGUUGCCUCCUCAAAUUACCAACCACAUAUUGAAUGGAUGCAUGGAGCUCAAAUGGUUGUGUCUAAUGUGCAGGGAUGUGAUAACUCACGAUGGUUCAUGCAUGGGAUGUUUAGAGCCAAUGAUGAGGCACUGCCUUCUUUAUGCACAAGGGCUCAAAUGAUGGGAUUUUUUUAUCCUAAAAAGACCUUGGUAGUGACAAAGACAUUGAAGGUGAAAGCAUUUAUGGCCAAUGGAUGUCACUUGGAUUUUAAUCAAACCCCCUUUGAUUCAUUCUCCCCACAGACUUCUACACAAAAGUUAGUAAGUAUUUUGCAGAGCUCUGAUCACGUCAUAUGCAGCUGGUUGUUUGUAGCUCAGCUGAAAUUUCGGAGGACUUAUCAUUUGUUGCAAAUGACGAAUCAGACUUUGUACAUAAACACCUACUGUUGUGAGGAUAUAAUAUAUAAUGUAACAAUGUAAUAUAACAAUGUUUCUAAAUUUAGUAGUUACGAUAUAAUAUAUAAUUUAACAAUGUAAUAUAACAAUAUUUCUAAAUUCAUUAGCAUCGAAUCAAACAAUAUUCCCGCAGCAUCGCGCGGGCUCUAUAACUA